rnacentral:rRNA from 1 species
AUUGAACGCUGGCGGCAGGCCUAACACAUGCAAGUCGAGCGAGCGGCGGACGGGUGAGUAAUGUCUGGGAAACUGCCUGAUGGAGGGGGAUAACUCCUGGAAACGGUAGCUAAUACCGCAUACCAUCAGAUGUGCCCAGAUGGGAUUAGCUUGUAGGUGAGGUAAAGGCUCACCUAGGCGACGAUCCCUAGCUGGUCUGAGAGGAUGACCAGCCACAAUAGAACUGAGACACGGUCCAGACUACUACGGGGGGAAGCAGAGGGGAAUAUUGCACAAUGGGCGCUGACCUGAUGCAGCACUGCCGCGUGGAUGAAGAAGGCCUUCGGGUUGUAAAGUACUUUCAGCAGGGAGGCGUUACCCGCAGAAGAAGCACCGGCUAACUCCGUGCCAGCAGCCGCGGUAAUUC